UCUCACACCAUGUGGUUUCCCUCAGGUUCAGACAUCGCUCCUACACCAAGUAUCCUUGGGAUUUUAGGAAUUUGCUGCUCAGGAGUCAGUGAACUGUGUGGUUUUUCCUUAGUGUUUUGCCAUUUCCAUAAAGGGAAUCUAGUGACCCAUCAGCCUUCAUGUCCUGUCUGCUUUGAGAUUGAGGAACUUUCAAGAAUCUACACUGUGAAAUGUGUGUAUUUACCUGCAGGAUAUUGUCGAGAUGGUGGCUCAUUAUAUUACAGAUGGUCUAUUUAUGUGGGUGCAGAUCUCUAAUUGAUCUACGAGUCCCUGGAAAAUCUCAAGCUCCAACUGUUUGAGUAAUGAUCCAAUAAAGUCUAAUAAGCCAUCCCCAUAGACGAUCAAGUUCAAACAAUGACAUACACGGAUCACAAGCUCCCUGAGGGCAGGACCUGUGACUGUCUUGUUCAUCUGGCACAGUGUGCACGCUCUGAAAAUGACAUGCCAGUGACAUGCCAUGACUCUGAAAUGACGUCCUCCCUGGGUCUGGAUAUCACUGUUCAGCUUCACCCAGGGAAGAUGACCUUGUUGUAGAGGAUCUAGUGCUCUCCAUUUGGUGCUUAUUCAAGAGGUGAAUGAAAAAGGAAUUAUUUUAAAAAGUGAGCAAGACAUUCGUGGUCCUUCAAUUAAUAUGUGUGACAGCUCUAUGAAAGGAUAAGCCUCAGAGUGCCCAGUCUCUCUAAUUCAUGCUCAGGGGAUUUGUUCUUAUAAGUCCUAUUAAGUAGGUAAAUCCCCUGCAUAUCUGAGAAAGCACAGACUAACAAACAUCAAUUUAC